GGUUAAGCGACUAAGCGUACACGGUGGAUGCCCUGGCAGUCAGAGGCGAUGAAGGACGUGCUAAUCUGCGAUAAGCGUCGGUAAGGUGAUAUGAACCGUUAUAACCGGCGAUUUCCGAAUGGGGAAACCCAGUGUGUUUCGACACACUAUCAUUAACUGAAUCCAUAGGUUAAUGAGGCGAACCGGGGGAACUGAAACAUCUAAGUACCCCGAGGAAAAGAAAUCAACCGAGAUUCCCCCCAGUAGCGGCGAGCGAACGGGGAGGAGCCCAGAGCCUGAAUCAGUGUGUGUGUUAGUGGAAGCGUCUGGAAAGGCGCGCGAUACAGGGUGACAGCCCCGUACACAAAAAUGCACAUAUUGUGAGCUCGAUGAGUAGGGCGGGACACGUGGUAUCCUGUCUGAAUAUGGGGGGCCCAUCCUCCAAGGCUAAAUACUCCUGACUGACCGAUAGUGAACCAGUACCGUGAGGGAAAGGCGAAAAGAACCCCGGCGAGGGGAGUGAAAAGAACCUGAAACCGUGUACGUACAAGCAGUGGGAGCACGCUUAGGCGUGUGACUGCGUACCUUUGUAUAAUGGGUCAGCGACUUAUAUUCUGUAGCAAGGUUAACCGAAUAGGGGAGCCGAAGGGAAACCGAGUCUUAACUGGGCGUUAAGUUGCAGGGUAUAGACCCGAAACCCGGUGAUCUAGCCAUGGGCAGGUUGAAGGUUGGGUAACACUAACUGGAGGACCGAACCGACUAAUGUUGAAAAAUUAGCGGAUGACUUGUGGCUGGGGGUGAAAGGCCAAUCAAACCGGGGAGAUAGCUGGUUCUCCCCGAAAGCUAUUUAGGUAGCGCCUCGUGAAUUCAUCUCCGGGGGUAGAGCACUGUUUCGGCAAGGGGGUCAUCCCGACUUACCAACCCGAUGCAAACUGCGAAUACCGGAGAAUGUUAUCACGGGAGACACACGGCGGGUGCUAACGUCCGUCGUGAAGAGGGAAACAACCCAGACCGCCAGCUAAGGUCCCAAAGUCAUGGUUAAGUGGGAAACGAUGUGGGAAGGCCCAGACAGCCAGGAUGUUGGCUUAGAAGCAGCCAUCAUUUAAAGAAAGCGUAAUAGCUCACUGGUCGAGUCGGCCUGCGCGGAAGAUGUAACGGGGCUAAACCAUGCACCGAAGCUGCGGCAGCGACGCUUAUGCGUUGUUGGGUAGGGGAGCGUUCUGUAAGCCUGCGAAGGUGUGCUGUGAGGCAUGCUGGAGGUAUCAGAAGUGCGAAUGCUGACAUAAGUAACGAUAAAGCGGGUGAAAAGCCCGCUCGCCGGAAGACCAAGGGUUCCUGUCCAACGUUAAUCGGGGCAGGGUGAGUCGACCCCUAAGGCGAGGCCGAAAGGCGUAGUCGAUGGGAAACAGGUUAAUAUUCCUGUACUUGGUGUUACUGCGAAGGGGGGGACGGAGAAGGCUAUGUUGGCCGGGCGACGGUUGUCCCGGUUUAAGCGUGUAGGCUGGUUUUCCAGGCAAAUCCGGAAAAUCAAGGCUGAGGCGUGAUGACGAGGCACUACGGUGCUGAAGCAACAAAUGCCCUGCUUCCAGGAAAAGCCUCUAAGCAUCAGGUAACAUCAAAUCGUACCCCAAACCGACACAGGUGGUCAGGUAGAGAAUACCAAGGCGCUUGAGAGAACUCGGGUGAAGGAACUAGGCAAAAUGGUGCCGUAACUUCGGGAGAAGGCACGCUGAUAUGUAGGUGAAGUCCCUUGCGGAUGGAGCUGAAAUCAGUCGAAGAUACCAGCUGGCUGCAACUGUUUAUUAAAAACACAGCACUGUGCAAACACGAAAGUGGACGUAUACGGUGUGACGCCUGCCCGGUGCCGGAAGGUUAAUUGAUGGGGUCAGCGCAAGCGAAGCUCUUGAUCGAAGCCCCGGUAAACGGCGGCCGUAACUAUAACGGUCCUAAGGUAGCGAAAUUCCUUGUCGGGUAAGUUCCGACCUGCACGAAUGGCGUAAUGAUGGCCAGGCUGUCUCCACCCGAGACUCAGUGAAAUUGAACUCGCUGUGAAGAUGCAGUGUACCCGCGGCAAGACGGAAAGACCCCGUGAACCUUUACUAUAGCUUGACACUGAACAUUGAGCCUUGAUGUGUAGGAUAGGUGGGAGGCUUUGAAGUGUGGACGCCAGUCUGCAUGGAGCCGGCCUUGAAAUACCACCCUUUAAUGUUUGAUGUUCUAACGUGGACCCGUGAUCCGGGUUGCGGACAGUGUCUGGUGGGUAGUUUGACUGGGGCGGUCUCCUCCUAAAGAGUAACGGAGGAGCACGAAGGUUGGCUAAUCCUGGUCGGACAUCAGGAGGUUAGUGCAAUGGCAUAAGCCAGCUUGACUGCGAGCGUGACGGCGCGAGCAGGUGCGAAAGCAGGUCAUAGUGAUCCGGUGGUUCUGAAUGGAAGGGCCAUCGCUCAACGGAUAAAAGGUACUCCGGGGAUAACAGGCUGAUACCGCCCAAGAGUUCAUAUCGACGGCGGUGUUUGGCACCUCGAUGUCGGCUCAUCACAUCCUGGGGCUGAAGUAGGUCCCAAGGGUAUGGCUGUUCGCCAUUUAAAGUGGUACGCGAGCUGGGUUUAGAACGUCGUGAGACAGUUCGGUCCCUAUCUGCCGUGGGCGCUGGAGAACUGAGGGGGCUGCUCCUAGUACGAGAGGACCGGAGUGGACGCAUCACUGGUGUUUGGGUUGUCAUGCCAAUGGCACUGCCCGGUAGCUAAAUGCGGAAGAGAUAAGUGCUGAAAGCAUCUAAGCACGAAACUUGCCCCGAGAUGAGUUCUCCCUGACCCUUUAAGGGUCCUGAAGGAACGUUGAAGACGACGACGUUGAUAGGCCGGGUGUGUAAGCGCAGCGAUGCGUUGAGCUAACCGGUACUAAUGAACCGUGAGGCUUAACCUU
rnacentral:rRNA from 1 species